GUGUGUACGUCUGCCUAUAGUUACUUAGUGUGUAUACGUCUGCCUAUAGUUACUUAGUGUGUACGUCUGCCUAUCGUUACUUAGUGUGUACGUCUGCCUAUAGUUACUUAGUGUGUAUACGUCUGCCUAUAGUUACUUAGAGUGUGUACGUCUGCCUAUAGUUACUUAGUGUGUACGUCUGCCUAUAGUUACUUAGAGUGUAUACGUCUGCCUAUAGUUACUUUGAGUGUGUACGUCUGCCUAUAGUUACUUAGUGUGUACGUCUGCCUAUAGUUACUUAGAGUGUGUACAUGUCUGCCUAUAGUUACUUAGAGUGUAUACGUCUGCCUAUAGUUACUUAGUGUGUAUACGUCUGCCUAUAGUUACUUAGAGUGUAUACGUCUGCCUAUAGUUACUUAGUGUGUAUACGUCUGCCUAUAGUUACUUAGUGUGUAUACGUCUGGCUAUAGUUACUUCGAGUGUGUACGUCUGCCUAUAGUUACUUAGUGUGUACGUCUGCCUAUAGUUACUUAGAGUGUGUACGUCUGCCUAUAGUUACUUAGUGUGUACGUCUGCCUAUAGUUACUUAGUGUGUACGUCUGCCUAUAGUUACUUAGUGUGUACGUCUGCCUAAAGUUACUUAGUGUGUACGUCUGCCUAUAGUUACUUAGUGUGUACGUCUGCCUAUAGUUACUUAGUGUGUAUACGUCUGCCUAUAGUUACUUAGUGUGUACGUCUACCUAUAGUUACUUAGUGUGUAUACGUCUGCCUAUAGUUACUUAGUGUGCACAUCUGCCUAUAGUUACUUAGAGUGUAUACGUCUGCUUAUAGUUACUUAGUGUGUAUACGUCUGAUUAUAGUUACUUAGUGUGUAUACGUCUGCCUAUAGUUACUUAGAGUGUAUACGUCUGCCUAUAGUUACUUAGAGUGUAUACGUCUGCCUAUAGUUACUUAGUGUGUACGUCUGCCUAUAGUUACUUAGUGUGUAUACGUCUGCCUAUAGUUACUUAGUGUGCACAUCUGCCUAUAGUUACUUAGAGUGUAUACGUCUGCCUAUAGUUACUUAGUGUGUACGUCUGCCUAUAGUUACUUAGUGUGUAUACGUCUGCCUAUAGUUACUUAGUGUGUACGUCUGCCUAUAGUUACUUAGUGUGUAUACGUCUGCCUAAAGUUACUUAGUGUGUACGUCUGCCUAUAGUUACUUAGUGUGUAUACGUCUGCCUAUAGAUACUUAGUGUGUACGGCUGCCUAAAGUUACUUAGUGUGUACGUCUGCCUAUAGUUACUUAGUGUGUAUACGUCUGCCUAUAGUUACUUAGUGUGUACGUCUGCCUAUAGUUACUUAGUGUGUAUACGUCUGCCUAUAGUUACUUAGUGUGUAUACGUCUGCCUAUAGUUACUUAGUGUGUACGUCUGCCUAAAGUUACUUAGUGUGUAUACGUCUGCCUAAAGUUACUUAGUGUGUACGUCUGCCUAUAGUUACUUAGUGUGUAUACGUCUGCCUAUAGUUACUUAGUGUGUACGUCUGCCUAUAGUUACUUAGUGUGUAUACGUCUGCCAAAAGUUACUUAGUGUGUACGUCUGCCUAUAGUUACUUAGUGUGUACGUCUUCCUAUAGUUACUUAGUGUGUACGUCUGCCUAAAGUUACUUAGUGUGUACGUCUGCCUAUAGUUACUUAGUGUGUACACGUCUGCCUAUAGUUACUUAGUGUGUAUACGUCUGCCUAUAGUUAUUUAGUGUGUACGUCUACCUAUAGUUACUUAGUGUGUAUACGUCUGCCUAUAGUUACUUAGUGUGUACGUCUGCCUAUCUUUACUUAGUGUGUACGUCUGCCUAUAGUUACUUAGUGUGUAUACGUCUGCCUAUAGUUACUUAGAGUGUGUACGUCUGCCUAUAGCUACUUAGUGUGUACGUCUGCCUAUAGUUACUUAGAGUGUAUAUGUCUGCCUAUAGUUACUUAGUGUGUACGUCUGCCUAUAGUUACUUAGAGUGUAUACGUCUGCCUAUAGUUACUUCGAGUGUGUACGUCUGCCUAUAGUUACUUAGUGUGUACGUCUGCCUAUAGUUACUUAGAGUGUAUACGUCUGCCUAUAGUUACUUAGUGUGUACGUCUGCCUAUAGUUACUUAGUGUGUAUACGUCUGCCUAUAGUUACUUAGUGUGUACGUCUGCCUAUAGUUACUUAGUGUGUACGUCUGCCUAAAGUUACUUAGUGUGUACGUCUGCCUAUAGUUACUUAGUGUGUAUACGUCUGCCUAUAGUUACUUAGUGUGUACGUCUGCCUAUAGUUACUUAGUGUGUAUACGUCUGCCUAUAGUUACUUAGUGUGUACGUCUGCCUAUAGUUACUUAGAGUGUAUACGUCUGCCUAUAGUUACUUCGAGUGUGUACGUCUGCCUAUAGUUACUUAGUGUGUACGUCUGCCUAUAGUUACUUAGUGUGUAUACGUCUGCCUAUAGUUACUUAGUGUGUACGUCUGCCUAUAGUUACUUAGUGUGUAUACGUCUGCCUAAAGUUACUUAGUGUGUACGUCUGCCUAUAGUUACUUAGUGUGUAUACGUCUGCCUAUAGUUACUUAGUGUGUACGGCUGCCUAAAGUUACUUAGUGUGUACGUCUGCCUAUAGUUACUUAGUGUGUAUACGUCUGCCUAUAGUUACUUUGAGUGUGUACGUCUGCCUAUAGUUACUUAGUGUGUACGUCUACCUAUAGUUACUUAGAGUGUGUACGUCUGCCUAUAGUUACUUAGAGUGUAUACGUCUGCAUAUAGUUACUUAGUGUGUAUACGUCUGCCUAUAGUUACUUAGAGUGUAUACGUCUGCCUAUAGUUACUUAGUGUGUAUACGUCUGCCUAUAGUUACUUAGUGUGUAUACGUCUGGCUAUAGUUACUUUGAGUGUGUACGUCUGCCUAUAGUUACUUAGUGUGUACGUCUGCCUAUAGUUACUUAGAGUGUGUACGUCUGCCUAUAGUUACUUAGUGUGUACGUCUGCCUAAAGUUACUUAGUGUGUACGUCUGCCUAUAGUUACUUAGUGUGUAAGUCUGCCUAUAGUUACUUAGAGUGUAUAUGUCUGCCUAUAGUUACUUAGUGUGUACGUCUGCCUAUAGUUACUUAGAGUGUAUACGUCUGCCUAUAGUUACUUCGAGUGUGUACUUCUGCCUAUAGUUACUUAGUGUGUACGUCUGCCUAUAGUUACUUAGAGUGUAUACGUCUGCCUAUAGUUACUUAGUGUGUACGUCUGCCUAUAGUUACUUAGUGUGUAUACGUCUGCCUAUAGUUACUUAGUGUGUACGUCUGCCUAAAGUUACUUAGUGUGUACGUCUGCCUAAAGUUACUUAGUGUGUACGUCUGCCUAUAGUUACUUAGUGUGUAUACGUCUGCCUAUAGUUACUUAGUGUGUACGUCUGUCUAUAGUUACUUAGUGUGUAUACGUCUGCCUAUAGUUACUUAGUGUGUACGUCUGCCUAUAGUUACUUAGAGUGUAUACGUCUGCCUAUAGUUACUUCGAGUGUGUACGUCUGCCUAUAGUUACUUAGUGUGUACUUCUGCCUAUAGUUACUUAGUGUGUAUACGUCUGCCUAUAGUUACUUAGUGUGUACGUCUGCCUAUAGUUACUUAGUGUGUAUACGUCUGCCUAAAGUUACUUAGUGUGUACGUCUGCCUAUAGUUACUUAGUGUGUAUACGUCUGCCUAUAGUUACUUAGUGUGUACGGCUGCCUAAAGUUACUUAGUGUGUACGUCUGCCUAUAGUUACUUAGUGUGUAUACGUCUGCCUAUAGUUACUUUGAGUGUGUACGUCUGCCUAUAGUUACUUAGUGUGUACGUCUACCUAUAGUUACUUAGAGUGUGUACGUCUGCCUAUAGUUACUUAGAGUGUAUACGUCUGCAUGUAGUUACUUAGUGUGUAUACGUCUGCCUAUAGUUACUUAGAGUGUAUACGUCUGCCUAUAGUUACUUAGUGUGUAUACGUCUGCCUAUAGUUACUUAGUGUGUAUACGUCUGGCUAUAGUUACUUCGAGUGUGUACGUCUGCCUAUAGUUACUUAGUGUGUACGUCUGCCUAUAGUUACUUAGAGUGUGUACGUCUGCCUAUAGUUACUUAGUGUGUACGUCUGCCUAAAGUUACUUAGUGUGUACGUCUGCCUAUAGUUACUUAGUGUGUACGUCUGCCUAAAGUUACUUAGUGUAUACGUCUGCCUAUAUUUAUUUAGUGUGUACGUCUGCCUAUAGUUACUUAGUGUAUACGUCUGCCCCUCGCAUCAGGCGUUUAGCUGUUUAACCACUAUGUCAUAUUAUGGAAGUCAGUGAUGGUGGGACCUGUUAAGGAUACACAGCUCUUAGACCAAACCUAGACAGCUGUGUCAUCACGUUCUUUACAAUUUGCCAACAGUAGAAUAUAACGCAACGUUGUAAUGGCUGUUGCCACAGCCUUGAGAGAGAGAGAUACAGUGACUUACUUGUCUUUCAGUGUGAGGUAACAAGUUGUUCUGUUUCGAUUUACUAUUGAUAGUUAUUACAAUAGACUACCUCCUACCUCUUUUACGACUGCUGUUGUCCCUUGACCUGACAUGGUGUAGAGAGUGUGUGUGUGUGUGUGUGUGUGUGUGUGUGUGUGUGUGUGUGUGUCCUUGCGUAUGUAUGUCUGGAGUUAUUAAAUCUCAUCUACUUCCGUGUUGCUUUUAUGAGUGCCGUUGUUCCUCCCAUGACCCGAUGCGAUGAUGCUUCCAUUACGUUGUGACAGGAGCAGGAGCGGUUAACGCCCAACCAGACACAUCUCCUGCUGAUCGUGUGUUUUAUUUAGCCAGGUGACUGUGUUACUUUAUGUAGCCAGGUGACUGUGUUACUUUAUGUAGCCAGGUGACUGUGUUACUUUAUGUAGCCAGGUGACUGUGUUACUUUAUGUAGUCAGGUGACUGUGUUACUUUAUGUAGCCAGGUGACUGUGUUACUUUAUGUAGCCAGGUGACUGUGUUACUUUAUGCAGCCAGGUGACUGUGUUACUUUAUGUAGUCAGGUGACUGUGUUACUUUAUGUAACCAGGUGACUGUGUUACUUUAUGUAGCCAGGUGACUGUGUUACUUUAUGUAGCCAGGUGACUGUGUUACUUUAUGUAGUCAGGUGACUGUGUUACUUUAUGUAGCCAGGUGACUGUGUUACUUUAUGUAGUCAGGUGACUGUGUUACUUUAUGUAGUCAGGUGACUGUGUUACUUUAUGUAGCCAGGUGACUGUGUUACUUUAUGUAGCCAGGUGACUGUGUUACUUUAUGUAGUCAGGUGACUGUGUUACUUUAUGUAGCCAGUUGACUGUGUUACUUUAUGUAGCCAGGUGACUGUGUUACUUUAUGUAGCCAGUUGACUGUGUUACUUUAUGUAGCCAGGUGACUGUGUUACUUUAUGUAGCCAGGUGACUGUGUUACUUUAUGUAGUCAGGUGACUGUGUUACUUUAUGUAGCCAGGUGACUGUGUUACUUUAUGUAGUCAGGUGACUGUGUUACUUUAUGUAGCCAGGUGAAUGUGUUGCUUUUUGUAGUCAGGUGACUGUGUUACUUUAUGUAGCCAGGUGACUGUGUUACUUUAUGUAGCCAGGUGACUGUGUUACUUUAUGUAGCCAGGUGACUGUGUUACUUUAUGUAGCCAGGUGACUGUGUUACUUUAUGUAGGCAGGUGACUGCGUUACUUUAUGUAGCCAGGUGACUGUGUUACUUUAUGUAGCCAGGUGACUGUGUUACUUUAUGUAGCCAGUUGACGUGUUACUUUAUGUAGCCAGGUGACUGUGUUACUUUAUGUAGUCAGGUGACUGUGUUACUUUAUGUAGCCAGGUGACUGUGUUACUUUAUGUAGCCAGGUGACUGUGUUACUUUAGUAGCCAGGUGAAUGUGUUGCUUUUUGUAGUCAGGUGACUGUGUUACUUUAUGUAGCCAGGUGACUGUGUUACUUUAUGUAGCCAGGUGACUGUGUUACUUUAUGUAGCCAGGUGACUGUGUUACUUUAUGUAGCCAGGUGACUGUGUUACCUUAUGUAGCCAGGUGACUGUGUUACUUUAUGUAGUCAGGUGACUGUGUUACUUUAUGUAGUCAGGUGACUGUGUUACUUUAUGUAGCCAGGUGACUGUGUUACUUUAUGUAGCCAGGUGACUGUGUUACUUUAUGUAGUCAGGUGACUGUAUUACUUUAUGUAGUCUGUUGACGUGUUACUUUAUGUAGCCAGGUGACUGUGUUACUUUAUGUAGCCAGGUGACUGUGUUACCUUAUGUAGCCAGGUGACUGUGUUACUUUAUGUAGUCAGGUGACUGUGUUACUUUAUGUAGUCAGGUGACUGUGUUACUUUAUGUAGCCAGGUGACUGUGUUACUUUAUGUAGCCAGGUGACUGUGUUACUUUAUGUAGUCAGGUGACUGUGUUAUUUUAUGUAGUCAGUUGACCGUUUUAUUUUAUGUAGUCAGUUGACUGUUUUAUUUUAUGUAGUCAGUUGGCCGUGUUAUUUUAUGUAGUCAGUUGACCGUGUUAUUUUAUGUAGUCAGUUGACCGUGUUAUUUUAUGAAGUCAGUAAAAAGAAAACAUAGAGAGCUUCACCUCCAUCGGAAAGUUUCCUUGAGAGAAGAGAGAAGGUUGCAAAUAUUGUGUGUGUGCUGGAGUAUCCAGGGAGAACCACCUGGAGUGAAGUGGAGCGGAGCGUGUUCCAAACGUUCUAAACCUUUUCCGUACCAGACUUAGAUGUGGAUCUUAUGUAAAAUGGAAGAUGCAAGGCAGCUUUGAGGCUGCUGUGGUGGGGAGGGAGAUGUCUGUGUGGUGCCAUUAUCUCUCCAUUAUCUCUCCAUUAUCUCUCCAGAGAGCCACAAACCUGACCAGAUUAGGGAAGAAAGAGCCUCAACACCAUCUCAAAUCACACCUUAUCCCUCCAUAAGUCCUAGGUGGGAGAGAACAGUCGGAGAUCAUCACUAUAAAGUUUCAAGUUAGGCAGUUAAGUGUCCAUUUUGUUUACCUUGUCUUUAUUCUUUUAUAACAUGUUUUGUCUGUCGUGUUGUUGGAGCUCUGCUCUGUCCGGGGUGGAAGGAAUGAGGUUUGGCUCCUGGCAGCACCACUCUGGUAGGAGAAUGAAAAGAGAAGGUGAUGACAGACAGACAGACAGACAGACAGACAGACAGACAGACAGACAGACAGACAGACAGACAGACAGACAGACAGACAGACAGACAGACAGACAGACAGACAGACAGACAGACAGACAGACAGACAGACAGACAGACAGACACCUGCUGGUCUGUCCACACCAUGCUGUACACGGAACAAUUCACGCCUGGGAGUUUAGGGCUGGGAGAAGAUGGAGGGAAAUGCCUAAAAUAC
rnacentral:lncRNA from 1 species